rnacentral:rRNA from 1 species
UGGGGAAUAUUGGGCAAUGGGCGAAAGCCUGACCCAGCAACGCCGCGUGAGGGAAGAAGGGUUUCGGCUCGUAAACCUCUGUCCUAUGGGACGAAGGAAGUGACGGUACCAUAGGAGGAAGCCCCGGCUAACUACGUGCCAGCAGCCGCGGUAAUACGUAGGGGGCGAGCGUUGUCCGGAAUGAUUGGGCGUAAAGGGCGCGUAGGCGGCCCGGUAAGUCUGGAGUGAAAGUCCUGCUUUCAAGGUGGGAAUUGCUUUGGAUACUGUCGGGCUGGAGUGCAGGAGAGGAAAGCGGAAUUACCGGUGUAGCGGUGAAAUGCGUAGAGAUCGGUAGGAACACCAGUGGCGAAGGCGGCUUUCUGGACUGAAACUGACGCUGAGGCGCGAAAGCGUGGGGAGCAAACAGG